UUUUUAUCUGAUUACAGGCUAUGCAAAGGUAGAAGAUAUUGUUACUGCUGAUGGUCGUGUGACGAUUGAUCGGUGUAAGUGAACAGAAUGCAUACGAAUACAAGAUGAGAUUUUGAAGUAACAAGAGAGCAAUGCACAACUAUAUGGAAACGCAAUUUGCCCGUAGUUUCUCUGAAAAUCAUCAUGUAAGAGUCUCGCGAUAUCUGCAGUUGAUUUGCCCGGAACAGCGAAUCAAGGAGAGAUCAAUCUUACAAGUCGGGAUAAAGUACGUUCUGAGGUAUUAGAAGAAGAUAUUCGUCUCAAAUCAAGCAGACGUAGAAUUGCAGUUUUAUCUUGAUAGCGAGUGUUUUAGAAUUGUACAAUCUGUAUUUUCAUUUUUAAUUGAAUUGAGCAAACCGGUACGCAUGGCCCACGUUGUCAUCUGCCGUGGGGUGAAUAUCUGGAUCGGCAAGCGCCGACUUAAAACCCGGUUACAGAGUGAUAGACUGCCAUCUAAAAAAACGAGUAACCCUUUUUAAUUGGGACCCGCAAUAGGGGGCAUGCCUGAUUUGUGUUUAGUUGAACUGAAAUGGUAUGCGACUAUUAAUUGAACUGAAAAAUGGUAUUUGAAACUUUGCGCUUGCGCUGAGUAAAUCCAAAUCUCGCUUACUCUGUUUAUGCCCUGUCACAAAGUUCGUUCUGUGCCGGUAUCUUAGCAGAUUGUGUCAUUUUAACAUAAUUUAGGCACUUGUAUUAUAUAUUGAGAUAUUAUUUUGAAUUAAAGCGUAUUUAAUAAAUAUAACGGA